CAAAGGGAACUCUUUUUUUUUAGGUACGCAUGAUCGAUGUAACUUCCUCGAUGGUGUGUUGGCUGUUUGCCCAUGUGUAUUUCGGGGUAUAGUGCGGCAUGCAGUCUGGUCAUCAACGAAGAGUUUUGACACCUGUAAUACCCAUAUUUCUACCAUUCACCUCUGUAACCUUUGUUGAGUUCAUCAGACUGUCCAAGACAGGAAGUUGAGGAAUAAAGUUGACAGGACAUCCUGAACUGUCCUCGCUACCAGCUUAUCAGGGAACCAGCUGCAGUGGACAAAGUACGUUACAUCAUAGGAUAAUAGCAUUGAAUUGGAUUCUUGAACCAGAGCCAUGUGAACCUGGUCCACCUGUACCUCUCAUUGAAGACCUGUUAACAUCACCAGAGUGUGUUCAUUCUGAUACCCCUAUGGUAUGGUUACAGCAUGCAUUAUCCCUGAAUCCAUUAAAAGAGCUGCAUUGACAACGAAACAACCCAAUGUGGUCGAUUGUAAGGAAAUAUAGCAUAUCAGCUUCCAACUUUGGUGCAGUUCUCAGUUCUAAGCAAAGGCGAUUGACAUUGUCACUGAAGAAACAGCUGAUGUCGGCUUACAAUCUGGAGUCCAUCAAGGCUGUUGCAUGGGGUAUCACUCAUGAAGAUGAUGCUUUGAGAAGGUAUGAAAAAGGACUUUGAUGCAGCUGUAGAGCAGUCAGGAUAUGGUUGCAUGAAUCUGGAGUGUUGGGAGCUUCACCUGAUGGCUUAGUUGUUCGACCACCAACAUGCAGUGUAUUUUAUCAAACUCCAGAAGCCAAAGACGCCAUUCCUGAUAUUGUAGAGGUGAAGUGUCCACACACAGCAUCGUCUUCAACAGUAGCAGAUGGGGCACAAAAUUUGAAGGAUUUUUCAUAGAUCUUAAACAAGAUACCCUGUGCCUGAAAACCAGUCACCCAUACUAUCAUCAAAUUCAAGGCCAGCUACACAUACGUAACAAAACAUUCUGCGACUUAAUUAUGUGGACAAGAGUAGACUGCAUUGUGAUUAGAAUAGUAAAAGACAUUGAAUGGACAGCAAAUGUUCCAAAGCUGAUAGAUUUCUACAUUAACAUUUUCAUUCCAGCACUGAUGGAAAACUGAGUUCUAGUUUGAACUUCUUGACACUUAGUUUUGUACCUCUAGAAUUUUCUAACA